ACCCGCUGAACUUAAGCAUAUCAAUAAGCGGAGGAAAAGAAACCAACAGGGAUUGCCCUAGUAACGGCGAGUGAAGCAGCAACAGCUCAAAUUUGAAAUCUGGCCUUCCGGUCCGAGUUGUAAUUUGUAGAGGAUGCUUUUGGGCAACCACCGGUCUAAGUUCCUUGGAACAGGACGUCAUAGAGGGUGAGAAUCCCGUAUGUGACCGGCUUAGGUACCCUAUGUAAAGCUCCUUCGACGAGUCGAGUUGUUUGGGAAUGCAGCUCUAAAUGGGAGGUAAAUUUCUUCUAAAGCUAAAUACUGGCGAGAGACCGAUAGCGCACAAGUAGAGUGAUCGAAAGAUGAAAAGCACUUUGGAAAGAGAGUUAAAAAGCACGUGAAAUUGUUGAAAGGGAAGCGCUUGCAAUCAGACUUGUCCUUGUAUGCUCCGCCGGUCUUCUGACCGGUUUAUUCAUACUUGGACAGGCCAGCAUCACUUUCGGCGGCCGGAUAAAGGCUCUGGGAAUGUAGCUCGUCCUUCGGGGCGAGUGUUAUAGCCCAGUGUGUAAUACGGCCAGCUGGGAGUGAGGUCCGCGCUUCGGCUAGGAUGCUGGCGUAAUGGUUGU
rnacentral:rRNA from 1 species